CUACCCGCCAGCGCAUCCCACGGCACAACCUCCCUCCUCCCACCUUCUUCCCCGCACGUGAACCACCUCCCGGCCCCGCUUCGUCCCCCACCACCUCGCCCCACCACCCAUGUCGCGUGCCCAUUCCCCUCCUUCCCCCCGGUGCUCUGGAUCCACCCGCACGGCGAGAUCCGUGCGCGGGCCUCCUGGCACCGCCACCCACCCACCCCGCCGCACCGGCCUUGAGAGCUCCCCUGGCUCCUUUCCUCCACGGCCGAUCGAGCACCACUGAUUUUCCCAACCGGAUCCGGCGGAAUCCUUCUCCACCUCCCUCCUCCCGCGCCUGCCCCGGCCUCCCGCUGCCGUGCCGGCGACGAUGCCGCCCCGCUACCCCACCUUACCCUCCUCCACACCCAUCCCAUCGUCGCUGCCCAAACCAGAGGCACCUAGGAUCCGAGCUCCCGAGCAGCGCCGAGUCCGGCGAUGGCCAUCGGUUCAGUGCAGCUCGGAGGCGUGAUUUGGUUUAGUCUCCACCGCGCCUAUCGUCUCCGGUGUGGACUGCUGCAACAAUGCCUCGUGGUGCUUCGUGGCGCUUGCAGUUCCUGACCGUGAGCACCAUCGGCCAUCCCCCACAGCGAUCCGGGCGGCACGAGCCCCGGACGCGGCCAUCACCACCGGAUCCGGCGGCCAUGGGCACGGGCACGACCAUUAGCACUGGAUCCGGCGCCACCACUGAAGCCACGCCGGCCAUCUACGCGCGAGCAACUCCGGCGUUGGGGCACGCCGGGAACCGCCACGCCUUGCUCCUCUAGCACGCCGGAGACGUGAAGGGGAGGAUCCCCUAACUCCCCUGCCAAUCGUCGCGGCAUGCGACCUCCUCUCCCUUCGAGCUCGCCGGCCCCUCGUCUCCUACAGCUGUGCAGUCCGGCGACCACAGCCGUGCAGUCCGCGCCCGUGGCCGUGCAGCUCGGACAAGUGCGCAAACGCAAUGAAGUUCCUUGCUCGUGUGCGUGCUGCUCGAUGAACACAACUGCACUGCAGCUCCUAGAUGGUGGACUACGGAAGGUGCGGGGCUCCUCCGACGUGCUCCGGUGGCCAAGUCCUUCCCCUCUGUGUUGCUCGUUGCCUGAUUCCCGACACCGGCGGGGCCAAAAGAGGAGGAGAGGGCGGCAACCUACCUCUACGUCUAUGCCUUAGCUCACGGGUGUGCCUCAAGUUUACUGUAAGCUGUUAAUUUCUACGUGUGUGACCAUCUCUCCACAUAGCUUGGUGGAGAAUCAAUGGCGUUAUGUGCAUGCAGUAGGAUUUUUUUAACUCUUGUUUCUUGAAAUAUAAGUAGGCUACUUCAAUUUUGCUGGAUAUAGUCACCCUGUUGGAUUCAAUGAACCCCCACGCUGGAGUAGUUUGCUAGCAGUAAAGUUAAACUCAGGAGUUGAAGCCUAGACUUAGGAAAGAUCUUCUUUGGAUAGGACCAGUUCCCCUGUGAAAAUUUCCCUAUGUUAGUCUGAUAUUUCUCAAUAAGCAAGAUUGCACUAUUUUACAAUUUAAUUCGACAAUUGUUUGCCACAUUCCCGAUUCAGAUAGAUUUUCUGGAGGGAAUACAACGGGAAUGUCCCGAUUCAUAUAACUCCAAAGAAAGGAUUGGUGAUUGCAGAGUUGCGCUCGGCUCCAGCGACAUUCAGGACGGCCUUGUCAACCUUGUCCCUUGCCAGAAACAAGAUUUCGUCGCCUUCCGGUUUCUCAAACCCGCACAGCUCGAGAAAAUAUAUGCCCCCGAGGCUCCCAACUCUCUCCUGCAAGGCACAAAAAAGAUCAUCAAUGUCGGAUUGUGCGGCAGGAUUCUUUACCACGUUUCCGAUGUAGGUGAGGAGUGUAUGAAAAGCCCUCUUUACUUCAGUGUCCUCCUCUUGUCACAACAUUAGCCUCGUGUAGGUUCAAAACAAAACAGGAAACCGAACCUGGCAAGUCAUUCACGAUAAGACAGUGUAUCCAUGCCCUUCCUCCUCUCCUCCACAACGGGACAACAACCGGAUGAUGUCGUGCAGUUCCUUAGCUCCUGGCCUACGGUUCAGGAAGCUUCGGUGUUCAGUCUGAUUUUUUUGGCGCGUGGUUCAGGCGACCUAGGUGUUCAGUCAGAUUGCAGUUCGCCCGCGAGAUCCUAGCCGCCAUGCAGUAGGGCCAGCGAGACCCACCCUAUAUAUAGAUGAUUCAGAACAGUUUCUUCCCACAUUUUUCUGGAUUUUGCAUGUGCGGUUCAGUGAGAUCCCAGCAAAUAUUCUGUGUGUAUUUCUCAGAUUAUGGCUGUUGAUUUGGGUGAAUUCAGUUUCCAAUGAAGUUUGUUAAAUCUCUCU